CUUUGUGGAAUAAGCUGUGCAAACAGGAGAACCUCGGCCUGGUGUCUGUGCGUAUGGUGACCAGUAAAUGGUACACGCAGUUUCAAGUCUACUUUGCUCGCAUAAUAGCGAGUAGUGAAUCCACACUGGUUUGCAGCAACAAGCAACGCUGAUGCUGGCGAGAGUGUGCACAGCUAUUAGUCAUCCACACUGGUAUAACUUUAUUGG